CCUACGGGAGACAGCAGUGAGGAAUAUUGGUCAAUGGACGAGAGCCUGAACCAGCCAAGUAGCGUGAAGGAUGACUGCCCUAUGGGUUGUAAACUUCUUUUAUAUGGGAAUAAAAUGUUCCACGUGUGGGUUUUUGUAUGUACCUUAUGAAUAAGGAUCGGCUAACUCCGUGCCAGCAGCCGCGGUAAUACGGAGGAUCCGAGCGUUAUCCGGAUUUAUUGGGUUUAAAGGGAGCGUAGGUGGAUUGUUAAGUCAGUUGUGAAAGUUUGCGGCUCAACCGUAAAAUUGCAAUUGAAACUGGCAGUCUUGAGGACAGUAGAGGUGGGCGGAAUUCGUGGUGUAGCGGUGAAAUGCUUAGAUAUCACGAAGAACUCCGAUUGCGAAGGCAGCUCACUGGACUGCAACUGACACUGAGGCUCGAAAGUGUGGGUAUCAAACAGGAUUAGAUACCCUUGUAGUC
rnacentral:rRNA from 1 species